ACUCGGAAGGUUUGCGGUACAAUUGGUGGACGAGUCCAGCGAGUGUCAGAAAGUUUUUUGUUGAAUUGGGGUCACACGAGGUAAUGAAAGCGCAAACGAGACAGUACUCUGUAAACCACAUCAGGCAUGAAUAUGAAGACAGCCCGCAUUUUGAAAUGGGAUACAUGCUAGGCGAAAUCGUUGAAAGAUAUAGGAAACUGGUGGACAUUGUUCGAGAAAAUUCACAGUACACCGAUAUGCUGCACAUGUAUCUCCACAGACUAAUGUUGUCACAGUCUAUAUUCUUGGAG